GCCUGUCAUGUCCUGUGUUUACUCUGGGUGAUAGACAGUACAGCCUGUCAGGCUCUGUGUUUACUCUGGGUGAUGUAGUAGACAGUACAGCCUGUCAGGUCCUGUGUUUACUCUGGGUGAUGUAGUAGACAGUACAGCCUGUCAGGUCCUGUGUUUACUCUGGGUGAUAGACAGUACAUCCUGUCAGGUCCUGUGUUUACUCUGGGUGAUGUAGUAGACAGUACAGCCUGUCAGGUCCUGUGUUUACUCUGGGUGAUAGACAGUACAGCCUGUCAGGUCCUGUGUUUACUCU
rnacentral:lncRNA from 1 species